UAAAAGCUUAUUUAUUGACGC
rnacentral:piRNA from 1 species